CGGAUUUUGGCCAGCAGUUAACUGCCGUUGGCGACAAUAUCUGGACUGAAGGUUAAUUGAUGGGGUUAUCCGUAAGGAGAAGCUCUUGAUCGAAGCCCCGUUAAACGGCGGCCGUAACUAUAACGGUCCUAAGGUAGCGAAAUUCCUUGUCGGGUAAGUUCCGACCUGCAAGAAUGGCGUAAUGAUGGCCAGGCUGUCUCCACCCGAGACUCAGUGAAAUUGAACUCGCUGUGA
rnacentral:rRNA from 1 species